rnacentral:rRNA from 1 species
UACGUAGGGUGCGAGCGUUGUCCGGAUUUAUUGGGCGUAAAGAGCUCGUAGGCGGCUUGUCACGUCGAUUGUGAAAGCCCGAGGCUUAACCUCGGGUCUGCAGUCGAUACGGGCUAGCUAGAGUGUGGUAGGGGAGAUCGGAAUUCCUGGUGUAGCGGUGAAAUGCGCAGAUAUCAGGAGGAACACCGGUGGCGAAGGCGGAUCUCUGGGCCAUUACUGACGCUGAGGAGCGAAAGCGUGGGGAGCGAACAGG